rnacentral:lncRNA from 1 species
CGAGGCAUACAUGGUUGGGUACACUGGUAAUUUUCGGUUUCAUAUGGAGUAGGCUAGGUGGAGUUUUCAUCAUGGUUAAGUUUGCAACAACAAACUUCGGGGCUAGCAAAACGGUUUUUACUAGAGGGCUUUUGGUAGGAAACUUUGUCCAGUGUCCCUAUCCAUGCAAGGACUACACUACCACCAAGUUUCAUCUCGGGAAGAACAGAGUAGCUAGUACUUGUAGUUCAAGGCUACUUUUCUCCCAAAAUGUAGGUUUAGA